CCAGGUCUCCUGUACUGUGUGCAGAUUCUUAACCAUCUGAGCCACCCGGGGCCCCGGGGAAGCCCCACUAAUACUAACAGAAUGCAAAUUCUACACAGACAGUGACUUUUGUGUAUUGAGUUCUCUGCGGUUUCCGCAGCACAUAGAAUAGCUCCUGUCACACUAUAGGUCCUAAAUAAGUGUUGUUGAAUGAAGGAGCCAUGGUGAUUGGUUGGAAAAAGAGAACUUCAGUGGAAAUGGAAAAUGGGGGGGGGGGGGGGGAGUGGAAUUUCAGGGCAGGUUUAACCUACCAGAAGUUUGUUCUGGAGCAAGAACUUGGAGGGUUCAUAUAUCGAGUUUUUUUCUUAAAAAUGUCUUUCACACCCUACUGAAACAGAGCAGGACCCUAUGGUCCUUGCAACUCCUGUCCUCAGCUUACCUUUUAUAUGUAGAAAAACUUCAGCCAAACAAUAAGUUUAAUCAGAGAAUUGAGAAAAUACACAAAGGAAAACACUCAAAUGAGACCAAGUAAUAAUAGUUUGGUCAUUAAGCAAUGUCAAGGACCUUUAGUUCCUCCUCAAAGGCUACAGAUAAUAUUCUGAGCCAUAUCUUACAAACUGUCUUAUAGAUACUGAAACCCCCCACCAGCUGAAAGAGGUUAACGACAUGAUGGUCAGACUGUAGCCAUGACAGAAGCAGCCACAGUUCUGAGAACGGAACUCAAAGAAAUGGGAACAAAUCAACUGUGGAACUAAAGGUUAAGUGUACUUAAAACAAUUAAGACGACACUGAUCAGACCACCGUGUGACCAAUUUCAAGAUGACAGUCAGCCGACUGUGCCGUUUCCUCCCUCCAUCGCUAAAAUGGCUCUUGCCCUGUGAUUGUGUCAGGGGGGAGCUGGCCUUUGGACAGAAGUCUGCCCUCCCCCACCCAUCCCCCGCACAGGUUGCCAGCCUUUGAAAUAAAGCAAACUGCCCUUUCUACCAACUCCGCGUCUUUAUCGGCUUUAGAGUGACGAGCAGCGGAAUCCCCACUCCCGGUCGGGGUUUUGGCUCCCGCCGUGGGGCUCUCGCGACAUCUGGCUUCCGGGAUUUUCCCGAGCAACAUCGCCGCCAUGAGGGCGCACCAGGGUGGCUGUGAGGAGCCGCUGCUCAUGGCUGCCUGUCCCAAGGAGAGGGGUUUGGGGGAAUGUUCCUAGUGGCUGCUGAAACCAUUUGCUUCGGGGAUCCUCCCUGUGUCUCCUCUGCUCGGCACUGGCUGUUAACUUACGCUUUUCCUUGGUGGAACGGAAACAUGCGUCUGGACAAGCUGAGGAGCUCCAAGACGCAAGCCACAUGUAAGAUGUCCAGCCACCCUGAGGCUGCCGUGUUGGAGAAGCUAAUGCAAUGACCACCUGAAGACAUCUCAGCUGGACCUAGAGAGAGAUGCACAACCUGGCCCUAGACAUCAGACAUGUGAGUGAAGACACCUGCUGAUGGUUCCAAGAUCAUAUGCUAACAUCAGAAUACUUCCAAACCCCUGCAGUGUGGAGGCUGCAUUAAAGAAUCUUGCUAAGGAUACUUCUGAAGUUUUAAAAAGUCCACUGGCCUGAGAAUUCCAGCUCUCCCUCGCUGUUUUGGUACGAUCAUUAGAUGCCCCUCGUACAGCACUUAUCUUCUAGACAUUUAAUAGGACAAACUUCAGCAACGCCAUCUCUACAUGUGGAUAUGAUCUUUUUCCUUUGCUACCAAGCCCUCCUGCUGAGCCAACCACCGUCUCGGGACCUGACCCAGGACUGCGAGCUCCAACACAUCAGUGGAGGGGCACCAGAAGGAGACGAGAGGGAGAACAGGCCCAAGACAAUAUGAGGAUAUAAUUGCUGAAAAGCUCCCUAACCUGGGAAAAGAAAUAGUUAUCAAAGUCCAGGAAGCAAAGAGCCGCAUACAGCCAAAACACAUUGUAAUCAAAAUGAUGAAAAUUAAAUAUAAGCAAAAAAUACUAAAAGUAGCAAGUGAAAAGCAACAAAUAACAUACAAGGGAACUCCCAUAAGGCUAUCUGUUGAUUUUUCAGCAGAAACUGCAGACCAAAAGGGAAUGGCAAUGUAAAGUGAUGAAAGGGAAAAAACCUACAACCAAGAAUACUCAUUUUUUUUAACCUGUGGAACUCGGAAGCAAAGUAGACUUAUGUGUAGAAUUCAUCAUUCUUUAUCUGAAUCUGUACACUAUUUGUAUGAAUUUUAGAUACCGGAUCCUAGUGGCAAGACGCAAUUCCAAACUAGUCCACUAGAUGGAAGACAAAAACUACUUUCUCCCCACCCCAUUCCAAAUAAAUGAAAGGUUGGGAAAACUAAGCAUUGUGGGUUUACAUAUUUGUUUGUCUUUAACAUCUUAUAAGAAAACACAAAGUUUUAUAGCAACAUCUAUCUGCAUUGCGCUGAAAAAGUGAGAGAAGGAUUUUCAGACUACUGAGACCUGAGUACACAGUUGCCUUUCCCCCCCCCCCUGAAGUUUUUGGUUUGACUUUGUUUGGUUUUGGCCAGGAAGGACACAGUGGAGGGAACAAAUAAUGAACGUGGUCUUGAUAACAGUAUGAAGAGAGACGCUAUUGAUUACAAUAUAGUACUUAUUGAUUGAUUGGUUGAUCUCUGCAUGGGAGGGUUGGGGGAAUUCGGUAGGAAGGUCACAGUGGUAAUCUACAGAUGGAAGCGGUGGUCACAAGAAAUAACAAUGAGAUUGUUCCCUUAAGUCACAAAGCAAAAUCAUCCAAGGCUCUGUGCCACCGUCUCAGCAGUGCCCCGACGCCCCAGGGGUGAGAAACUCCAAGUUGCUUAAGGGAGACAUUUAGCUUCCCUUCCUACGCCAGGAUAGAACUGCACUUCAUCAAUUUAGCGGAAAGCAGCUGACGGUGGACUUCACACCUAACUCUAAUAUACAAUUGCUUUGAAAAGUGACCCAGCGAGGAUAACUGCCCUGCACGGUUCGACGAGGUCACGGCAGCAGGAGGGUAAGGACCCCAAGAACCGCCGCAGCAGCAGCGGGGGCGCCGGGACCCGGACCCGGACCCGGACCCGGAUGCGCCCCGGGAAGCCGGCGGCUCCAGGCGGUAGCGAGGAACGCUUAAGUGCAGGUAACGAAGAGGUUAA